rnacentral:lncRNA from 1 species
UGCCAUGUAAGAUAGGACUUUGCUUCUCAUUCGCCUUCUGCCAUGAUUGUGAGGCCUCCCCAGACAUGUGGAACUGAUGCUAUAUUGAAUUUUUGGAGAGAAAGUGAAACAUGUCUGGGUCUAAGCAAGAAGUGAAUAUCUGCUUGGAGAUUCUGUACAAGAUGGUGGGGCUAGAGAAGCAACCUAGAAAGCAGGGGAUCUCUUAAAAGGACAAGGAGCAGCAUUAGGAAAGGGAAGGGUGUUAGAGAUGGAUUUUCAUCCUAGACACCAGCACAGAAGGAACUCUGAAAAAUAUUCCUUUACUGAUUCCUGUGAAGUGACUGUAGGACAGGGACAGGUGAAACAUUGGUUCUCGCAAAGAAAAAUGGAAAUAAUUGAGAUUUUUGGUGCAUGUGUGGAAAAUAAAGCCCCUUUAUCCAUAGAAUGGAUGCAUAUCCUUAAACAGCUCAUGGAAAAAUGUGCUGCAUUGAAGCUUGUUUUCUACUGCAUUUUUGUUGCAAAAUAUCAACUAUUAUGUGUAGAGAUCCCUAAGUCCACGAGUAGCCUUAAUUCUCAGGUAUUACAGUGUGUCCUUCAACUCAAACUUAUCUUCCUCAUGGGAACCGUUUCCAAAUAAUUUUUUAACCCAUUAUUUCUAGCAGUCUUGUUCCUCAAGGCCAUUUUUGAAGCUAAAUUCAAUUAGCUAAACUGGUAGAUUAGUUGUCAUGUGACAAUGUUAAUAGUAAUAGUAACAAUGUUCAUACACAUAAAGCUUAUAAUACGCCAAGCACCGUUCUGAGCACUCGACAUAUAUCAACUCGCUAAAUCUUCAUAACAACAUUAUGGAAUAAUUAUACAGCUCUACCACCCUGAAUGUGCUUGAUCUCCUCUGACCUUGGAAGCUAACCAUAGUUGGGGCUGGUUAGUACUUGGAUGGGAAACAACACUAAGAAAAUGUAGCCUACAUUUUACAAAAGAAGAAACUGAAGAAUAGAAAAAUUAAGUGAUGUGCUUAUAGUCACACUCCUAAGUAGCAGGCUUGGAUUCAAACUCAAUGACUUAAGAGACAGUUUUCUUAAUGACUCUGCCAAUUGUUCUGUAACUGUAGCAUGCAUCAAAAUCACCAGGCGAAUUUGUUAAAACACAGGUAUCUGCCUUCCCAAGAAUUUCAGAUUCAGUAGGGCUGGAUAAUUUGCAUUUCCAUAAAUUUCUAAGGUGAUCCUGUGGCUGCUGGUCCAGGCAUCACUCUUUGAGGAUCACUUAAUUGUGCUACAUAUGACCUCUCUGUGUUUGAUAAAUUUUAGCUUACCUAAUUAUGCUUUAAAAUAGCCUUUUUGUAGAAAAAUAAAAACUAGACCCAAAUGAAUGAUAUGCAUUGAGAAUUCCCAGAUGCUUUGAAGAAAACAUUUUCUGAUUAAGCAAAUAAAUCUUUUGGAGUGGCUUGUACCACAAACAAUUCAUUGCCUUUUCUUUACAACUAAUGCUUUUUGGUAAUUCCAUUCCAGUGAGAAACAGGACUAGCUGGAUUUCCUAGGCUAUCUAAAAAUUCCUAAUACUAGGGAAUAUAAUGAUUUCAGUAUGAUGAGUUAGAAAUAGCAGGUGACCUUGAUACUCUACUUGUUUCUGUUUUGUCAUGAAUUACCUUCAUGCCCCGUGAAAGAUCACAUGACCUCUAUUUCUUUACCUGUUACAUGAGAGUCUUGGACUAAGUUUACUUGUUUCCUUUGUCUUAAUCCCAUAAAUGAACAAUUCAGGAUUGAGGGCCAACUAUCUCCCAUCAGAAGGAGAUUAGAGGCCCUACUGCAGAGUUACUUUAUGUUGUUGCAAUGAUGCCCAUGGCUUUCUUGUUGCCAAAAAGGAGGAAAUAAAAGAGAACUCUGUCAGCAGUGUACUAAUCAUGAAUCUAUGCAACAGUGACAGUUAAUCUUCUCUUCCUAUUAAUAGAUGCAGAUGCCUAAGGGCUUAACAUUUUCCUACUAGCUUAAUAAGGAGAAAAAGAUUGAAGGGGAAGCAGAGAUGCCUAAUUGCAUAGCCAGCAGCUAUUACAGUGUUGCUCAAAGGGAGAAACUCAAGAGAAAGAGGCAAGAUGGAAAUUCAGCAUUGGCCAUGCCAGCAAGUUGUCCCCUAAGGAAAUUAAAAGAAAGUCGUUUUGAUCUGUUUUGGUGCAUCUCUAGGAGAAUAUUCAAUUAAGAACCCAGAUGAGCUUUCACUCACCGUGGUGCCUGCACAGCUGUAUAAAACAAAGCUGAAGAUAUAUUGAUCUUCCUGAGAAUGCCAUGGAAUACUUACUGCAAAUUCACAAAAGAAAAAUAAAGCUAAGUCUUCCUGGCUUUACAAAACCAUUUUGAUUUUCAAUUCAGGAAGUCAUCUUACUGUGCUUAGGUGUUUCACUGGCAUUUGAACAUAGGAAGGUUGUGACAGGGAAAGGGACAUGUAUGCUUAUAAAAUGAAAAAAAAUUCACUUGUGACUUUGAAUUUUUUCUAGUUUCAUUUAUAAAUUAAAUGGAUUUCUGUUACAUCUCUAAGUACCAUAUUCUGACAGUCACUCUGGUUCCUCAAAUAAUGUAUUCCCAAUAGAGGAAAAAUAGUACCUUAAAAAUAACGUAUUAAUUAAGAAAUAGACAGUUACAUAAAAAAGCUAACACAUUAUUUACACAUUAAAUAUACUUACCUUUAAACAACUUCCUCACUAACGAAUAGCCACUAUAUAGACUAUUAAAAUGAUGCUUUGUAAGCUCCUAUUCUGAGAUUAUAAGUAAUGUCUUGAUGGACCACAUUGAGUAGCAAUUAAUCAAAUUUAAAUUAAACAAUCAUGCUUGAGUGCUUACUAUUGAUAUUGGUGGGCUCGGAGAGGUCCCCAAAUGCCAGUGGGACAUCGACCCCAGUUAGUGUUCAGGCUUUUGACACCACUGUGGGAACGAAUUCCGGGCUGAGUCAAAAAAUAGUGAAAGUAUGACAAUUUCUUGCAAAGUGAAAAGUACACACUCAAGAAAAGGGAGUGAAGGUAUACUCAGAGAGUCUCAUACAAGGGGGUUUGGGGCUUCUUACCUUUAUGGGUUUCUUCAACCCAGGGGUGGAAUAUUGAUGAAGAUUCUUAGAAAAAGGUGAAGAUUUUUUGGAACUGUGAUGCCACCCAUUUUUACACCAACUAUAGAUGUUUCCAGAACUGUCAUGGCACUGGUGAGUGUGGUAAUUUAGCAUAUUAAUGACUAUGUAAUGAGGUCCUAGAUGAAACCUGGGUCAAAUCCAACACCAUGUUGGGUCCAGUGAGUGUUAGCCAGCUUGGCCCAUAUCUUGUUUUUCAGGAUCUUAUAGGCCCCUAGCUUAUGAAUCUAUUUCAACAGUUUCCUUUUGCUAGUCAUGUGAAACUGCUGCCUAGAAUUUUUCUAUUCUCUGGCGAUCACUCUGUAUUAUUCCUGUCUCACUAUGAGCCAAGUCUUCUGCUAGAUGCUGAGCACACAGAUAUGAAAAAGAAAAUUGCCUAGCAUCCAGUGAGUUAGUGAGGAAGCAAUUCCAUUUAGAAAUAAGAAAACCUUUGAAACCACCUUUGCACAAAUUAUAGAAACGAGAAAAGGAUGACAGUGGAAUAUACCUGAUCUAACCAGCCCCCAACUUACCUAUAGCCUCCAAACUGCCCUUAAUCAUCGCUAGGCUUGGGCCAAGCUAUCUUUGGGAGAAAUUUAGUUUAUAGUUUAAAUGAUAAUAGCCCUUCCCCAAAACUAAACCACCUUGGAAAAGUUAAUGAAAGGCCUGCCAAGUUAGGAGGAUGAGAGGAGCCUGAAUUCUGCUAAGGUGUAGACAUAAAGGAUUACCAGCCAUUAUUCCAGAAGCUGUAAGAUUUGCAACUUCCCUAAUUACUCCUGCAGAUAAUAUCACUAUUGUAGCACUUAAGAUUGGCCUUUUGAGAUGUCUUUUCAGGAUUUUGCAUUUCUGAUGACCAAUGGCUCCACCCAGACCGCCAACAAAUCCUGUGGCCACACCCAGAGGCUGGCUCAGUGCACAUGAGGACCAUUUUCCACACCCCUAUGAUUACAUUGCCAACCAAUCAGACGCAGACAUUCCCUUACCCGCCAAAUUAUUCUUGAAACCUCUAGCCUCUGAUUUUUGUGGGAGUCUGAUUUGAGUAAUAAUAAGGUCUCUUGUUCAGCCUGCUGUGCGUGAAUUAACCUCUUUCUCUGUUGCAAUUUUCCUGUCUUGAUAAAUAACCUCUAUCUGGGCAGUGGGCAAAAUAAACCCAUCGUGCAGUUACACCUUAUCUACUUAACUUCUCAUAUUUCUCCAAUGUGGGAAAGGUGUGUUUGAAUUCUGGGAAGCAUGAGGUGACUCAUAUUUGUUACAACACUAAAAAAAAUUGUGAAUUUUCAUUAUUCUGUUAUUAAUUUCUGCUCAUGUUUUAAUCUGUUGUUUGUCUAAUGUCUUACAUUACUAUGUCCAUAAUUUAUUAAUCUGUACUAUAGUGUCUUGUACAUGUAAGC